AAUCCGUUUAUAUCAGUAAGAACACCAAAUGCGAAGGCAGCUCGCUGGAACAAGCCUGACACUCAGGGACUAAAGCGUGGGGAGCGAAGCGGAUUAGAUACCCGCGUAGUCCACGCCCUAAACGAUCGGUGCUAGAUAUUGGGAGUAUCGACCCUCUCAGUGUCGUUCAAAAAAGCUAACGCGUUAAGCACCGCGCCUGAGGAGUACGACCGCAAGGUUAAAACUCAAAGGAAUAGACGGGGGUCCGCACAAGCGGUGGAUCAUGUGGUUUAAUUCGUCGCUAAGCGAAAAACCUUACCAGGGCUUGACAUAUACCUGCACAUCUUGUGAAAGCAAGACUUCUUCGAGAGUGGUAUACAGGUGCUGCAUGGUCCUCGUCAGCUCGUGCCGUGAGGUGUUCCCUUAAGUGGGGUAACGAGCGCAACCCUUGUCGUGUGUUACAUAUCACACGAGACUGCCCUGGCAACGGGGAGGAAGGAGGGGACGACGUGAGAUCAGCAUGGCCCUUACGCCCUGGGCUACACACGUGAUACAAUGGCUGGUACAACGGGUCGCAAAACCGCAAGGUGAAGCUAAUCCCAUCAAAACCGGUCUCAGUUCGGAUAGAGGUCUGCAAUUCGACCUCUUGAAGUCGGAAUCGCUAGUAAACGCGAAUCAGCACGUCGCGUUGAAUACGUUCUCGGACCUUGUACUCACCGCCCGUCAAGUGAAGGGAGUUGGGAAUACCCGAAGUUCGUAUGUUACGUUCUAAGGUAGGUCCAGCG
rnacentral:rRNA from 1 species